GGGCAGGUGGCGGAACUAGGUAGACGCGGCAGCCUUAGGAGCUGUUGGGGUAAUACCCGUGAGAGUUCGAUUCUCUCCCUGCCCA
rnacentral:tRNA from 1 species